ensembl:lincRNA
CAGGACAGCCUCGCGGUGUGAGAGUAGACAGAGGCCAGGACAGUCUCGCGGUGUGAGAGAGGACAGAGGUCAGGACAGUCUUGCGGUGUGAACUCUGCCCAGGCCUAGGCCGGGACAGAGCGCCCGUGCUUAUCCACAGACGACUCCGGCUGGCAGCAGGUUGCAGGAGUGCGCGUAUUGCUGGGUCUUAAGUCUUUAAUUAGUGGUGAGUUAUCUCAUGCCAAAUACCCCCCUCCCCCUGCAUCUCCACACCGCACUGCCCCCUCACUGCUCCGCUGGGCUAAAGCCCGGUGACAGGGGGAGAUUACUGGCCUUUUUAUAGCCUACCCUGUCCACACCACGGCCGGCCUGUCUCCCUGGCCGAGCCCCUCCUUCCACCUGCUCCGCUCGCCCCGCGGGCCGGCCAUUCGGAUCCCCAUGAGCUGGCCAGGCGAGAGCACAGAACCACAGCGACAGGGGAAGGUGCAGCAGCUGAACAGCAGGAAGAGAAGGAGAGGGGCGAGGCGGAGAGCAGCCAGCAGAGGAAGAGGAGCAGGGAGCCGGUGUCCAGGAGGGGCCGGCAGAGGAAGAGGAGCAGGGUGCCGGUGUCCAGCUGGGGGGUCCUGACUCUCAUGUCUGGGCAGCAUCGUGCAGCAGAGCUCUGUGAAGGAUCUCCAGGAUAAGGAACAACAUCAGCUGAGCUGGACUGUCUCUGGUCUCUGUACAGCUGCAUGUGAAUCUCACACUUACACAUUUACCCAGGCCUGUUUCCUGGCAGGUAGAGGAACAGCCGCCCAGCCAAUAGCUUGUCUUCCUUCAAGAUCCUCUGAUCAAUUAGCUACUGAAACACCAAAUGAGCUAGGUGUGAAUAAUGCCCUAAUGUCUGUAAGCUUUCUUAUGCUCUCACAUUUUACCCCAAAAUGAGAAAACUGGGCUUUUUAAAAUUCUAUAACAGUCACUCUGCCAGGAAAUAUGCACUGCAGGAGGGAGCACAGAGCCUUUGGCACUCACUGACAGCCUCGUCUCUCCCCGAUAUCUUCAACUCAGAGUUCUGACCUCCAAGACCUGAUCACAGACAGACACAGAGACAGGCACAUUGCUGAGUACGUGCCCCACAGGACACAAUAGUUGACCUCAAACCCCACACAACACCUAGUGGUCACCGGCACUGACCCAAUAAUAAUUUCUUACACUUUUAUAGCGCUUUUCUGGACACUUCACUCAAAGAGCUUUACAGGUAAUAAGACCUCCACCCCACCACCACCAGGGUGAAGUGCCACUACACAGCACUACUAUGACAGCAGCCAUAGUGCGCCUGUCCGCUCCCCACACCAGCUCUCAGUGGGGAGGAGCGCAGAGUGAUGAAGCCAGUUCAGAGACGGGGGUUAUUAGGAGGCCAUGAUGGGUAAAGGCCAGGGGGAAAUUUGGCCAGGAUGCCGGGGUUACACCCCUACUCUUUUCAAGAAACGGCCUGGGAUUUUUGAUGACCACAGAGAGUCAGGACCUCGGUUUUACGUCUCAUCCGAAGGACGGCGCCUGUUUACAGUAUAGUGUCCCCAUCACUAUACUGGGGCAUUAGGAC